rnacentral:rRNA from 1 species
GAUGAACGCUGGCGGCGUGCUUAACACAUGCAAGUCGAACGGUGAAGCCCUAGCUUUUUCUGCUGGUGUAGUGGCGAACGGGUGAGUAACACGUGAGCAACCUGCCCUUGACUCUGGGAUAAGCUCAGGAAACGACGGCUAAUACAGGAUACGAGCUGCUGAGGCAUUGUCAGCAGGGGGAAGUGACGUCGGUCAGGGAUGAGCUCGCGGCGUAUCAGCUCGUUGGUGGGGUAGGGGCUGACCAAGGCUUCGACGGGUAGCCGGCCUGAGAGGGUGACCGGCCACACUGGGACUGAGACACGGCCCAGACUCGUACGGGAGGCAGCAGUGGGGAAUAUUGCACAAUGGGCGGAAGCCUGAUGCAGCGACGCCGCGUGGGGGAUGACGGCCUUCGGGUUGUAAACCACUUUCGCCUUGGACGAAGGUUGUUUGACGGUAGAUGGAGAAGAAGCACCGGCUAACUACGUG